rnacentral:rRNA from 1 species
GAACCGUCCAAACGUUAUUCGGAAUCACUGGGCUUAAAGGGUACGUAGGCGGCGCUGUUAGUCGGGUGUGAAAGCCCUCGGCUCAACCGAGGAAUUGCGCCCGAUACUGCAGUGCUUGAGGGAGACAGAGGUAAGCGGAACUGAUGGUGGAGCGGUGAAAUGCGUUGAUAUCAUCAGGAACACCGGUGGCGAAAGCGGCUUACUGGGUCUCUUCUGACGCUGAGGUACGAAAGCUAGGGGAGCGAAGGGGAUUAGAUACCCCCGUAGUCCUAGCUGUAAACGUUGAGCACUUGAUCGUGGACCCCCCCAUAGGUUCUCGGUCGUAGCGAAAGUGUUAAGUGCUCCGCCUGGGGAGUAUGGUCGCAAGGCUGAA